ACUUCCGCUGCAACAGAACAAGAGAGGAAGCUGCCGUUAGCGUCAGAUUCAGCGGGACUGAGUCCGAGUUUUUCUCUUCUCCAGAUCGGAACCAAAGUAAUCCGGACUGCAGUGAUCCAUUCUGAGAAGGAUCUGUUUCCAGGUGUCAGUGGGUCCCGGAACACACCAGGAGGACCCGCUGGUGAGUAAACCUGUAGAUCACCUGGAUCCAGGACCGAACCCAGACAGCUGAUUGGACCUCGGACCUCUUCAGGACAUGAGCAGCUCGGUGAGUCGGUUGGAUCUGCAGCCACCUGAUCAGGCUCAGAGGAAGCGGCGGCCCGCCGGAAGCUCUCUGGUCUCCAGAACCAAGACCAGCAGAGCAGCCAGUGGUCGGACCCGCAGGACAGCCGGCGCCGGAGACCACGCCCCCCCCACGGAGCCCAUCGACGUGAUGGACGGCGCCGAGGACGGUGUGGAGGAGGUGGUGGACCUCACCUGCGAGGGAUCAGAGUCUGCUGUGGUUGACCUGACGACCAACAACGAGUCGGAGCUGCUGGUGGACGAAGGGCCUCCGGGUGAGAGCUAUGUACUCAGCAGUGAUGAAGAUGAAGACGCGCCCACUGUCGUUCAAGCUGCCAUCACCUCUACUGCACACACGUCCAGGUUGACUCCAGGUCUCAUCAGCUGUCCCGUCUGUCUGGACCUGUACUCCGAGAUCGUAGAGAGCGGGCGAUUGGUCGUCUCCACAAAGUGUGGCCACGUGUUCUGCAGCCAGUGUCUGAGGGACGCUCUGACAUCAUCACACACCUGCCCCACCUGCAGGAAGCGGCUCACUUCGCGCCAGUACCACCCUCUUUACAUCUGACACCUGGUGACAUCAUCAGCGGACUGAGCUGCUAUUGGCUGUCCUCAGUGGCGUUAUCGUCGACACUGAAGGUCGAUGACCUGGAAGGAGCAGAACGGAAAACUUCUUCCGGAUCACAUCUGGGUCUUCAGUUUUCCUGCCGAGUCAUGAUCCAUCAGCAGCUUUCAUCCCGUGACCCUGACUCAUCGCCUCACCCACUUCCUGCUUUGGGAGAUGAAACUUUAUUGACAAUGAGAAACAAACAGCAGACCAGAAGCUUCUGGAUCCUCCACAGAACCCUGAGCCAGAUUCUGAAUCCGUGGUUCUGUUCCAUCUAACUGAACCGGUGCUGGUUCUUUGGAUCGCCUGAAUGAUUCCUAAAAUAAACACAAACAUAUGACGACA